UUCAAACUCAGACCUUCACUCCUAAUACUCCUCUGAAGUUGGCUUUGCUAAUCAGAAACGAAGACUUGAAGUUAUAAAUAUCCUAAAUUUGUGCAGUUCUUCCUCAAACAUAAGCAGCGCCCUGCUAUGAAUAUGGAGUCCCAGCUCGUCCUUUCAACGCAUGGAAUCAUAUUUUCACCUAAUUUCCAGAUCUUGGAAGGAUUAGGAG